AUAACUACUGGAAACGGUAGCUAAUACCGCAUAACGUCGCAAGACCAAAGAGGGGGACCUUCGGGCCUCUUGCCAUCGGAUGUGCCCAGAUGGGAUUAGCUAGUAGGUGGGGUAAAGGCUCACCUAGGCGACGAUCCCUAGCUGGUCUGAGAGGAUGACCAGCCACACUGGAACUGAGACACGGUCCAGACUCCUACGGGAGGCAGCAGUGGGGAAUAUUGCACAAUGGGCGCAAGCCUGAUGCAGCCAUGCCGCGUGUAUGAAGAAGGCCUUCGGGUUGUAAAGUACUUUCAGCGGGGAGGAAGGGAGUAAAGUUAAUACCUUUGCUCAUUGACGUUACCCGCAGAAGAAGCACCGGCUAACUCCGUGCCAGCAGCCGCGGUAAUACGGAGGGUGCAAGCGUUAAUCGGAAUUACUGGGCGUAAAGCGCACGCAGGCGGUUUGUUAAGUCAGAUGUGAA
rnacentral:rRNA from 1 species